UAUCGAGUAUAUACUUUUAUUUACUGGAAUCCUUUCAUCCCUAUUCGUGGAUUUAAUUGAUAAAUUUAACUAAAUAGAUAUGGAUUCACAUGAUAUAUUCCUUCAGUUAACUAGGGGUGCGAGGUUUACGCAUUCCAAGCCAAGAGGCGAAAUAA